rnacentral:tRNA from 1 species
GCCCGGCUGGCUCAGUUGGUAAGCAUCCGGCUUCGGCUCAGGUCAUGAUCUCACAGUCCGUGGGUUCGAGCCCCGCGUCGGGCU